UNUGCUGUGAAAGGCCGGGGCUUAACUCCGGUUUUGCAGUGGGUACGGGCUAACUAGAGUGCAGUAGGGGAGACUGGAAUUCCUGGUGUAGCGGUGGAAUGCACAGAUAUCAGGAGGAACACCGAUGGCGAAGGCAGGUCUCUGGGCUGUAACUGACGCUGAGAAGCGAAAGCAUGGGGAGCGAACAGGAUUAGAUACCCUGGUAGUCCAUGCCGUAAACGUUGGGCACUAGGUGUGGGGGACAUUCCACGUUUUCCGCGCCGUAGCUAACGCAUUAAGUGCCCCGCCUGGGGAGUACGGCCGCAAGGCUAAAACUCAAAGGAAUUGACGGGGGCCCGCACAAGCGGCGGAGCAUGCGGAUUAAUUCGAUGCAACGCGAAGAACCUUACCAAGGCUUGACAUGCAUUAGAUCGCGUCAGAGAUGGCGUUUCCCUUCGGGGCUGGUGUACAGGUGGUGCAUGGUUGUCGUCAGCUCGUGUCGUGAGAUGUUGGGUUAAGUCCCGCAACGAGCGCAACCCUCGUUCUAUGUUGCCAGCGGUUCGGCCGGGGACUCAUAGGAGACUGCCGGGGUUAACUCGGAGGAAGGUGGGGAUGACGUCAAAUCAUCAUGCCCCUUAUGUCUUGGGCUUCACGCAUGCUACAAUGGCCGGUACAGAGGGUUGCGAUACUGUGAGGUGGAGCUAAUCCCUUAAAGCCGGUCUCAGUUCGGAUUGGGGUCUGCAACUCGACCCCAUGAAGUCGGAGUCGCUAGUAAUCGCAGAUCAGCAACGCUGCGGUGAAUACGUUCCCGGGCCUUGUACACACCGCCCGUCAAGUCACGAAAGUUGGUAACACCCGAAGCCGGUGGCCUAACCCUUGUGGGGGGA
rnacentral:rRNA from 1 species